GAAAUAGCUCAGUUGGCUAGAGUGUGGUACUGAGGAGACCAAGGUCGUGGGUUCGAUCCCCAUACGGGUCACCU